CAAACGGCCCUUUUCGGGGCCACAAAAUCAAUGAAAAAGAGUUAUU
rfam:Aedes aegypti strain Liverpool supercont1.64 genomic scaffold, whole genome shotgun sequence.